rnacentral:rRNA from 1 species
AUCGAACGCUGACGGCAUGCCUUACACAUGCAAGUCGAACGGCAGCAUGGAGAGCUUGCUCUCUGAUGGCGAGUGGCGAACGGGUGAGUAAUGCAUCGGAACGUACCGUGUAAUGGGGGAUAACGUAGCGAAAGUUACGCUAAUACCGCAUACGACCUGAGGGUGAAAGCAGGGGAUCGCAAGACCUUGCGUUAUACGAGCGGCCGAUGUCAGAUUAGCUAGUUGGUGAGGUAAAGGCUCACCAAGGCGACGAUCUGUAGCGGGUCUGAGAGGAUGAUCCGCCACACUGGGACUGAGACACGGCCCAGACUCCUACGGGAGGCAGCAGUGGGGAAUUUUGGACAAUGGGGGCAACCCUGAUCCAGCCAUGCCGCGUGAGUGAAGAAGGCCUUCGGGUUGUAAAGCUCUUUCGGCCGGGAAGAAAUCGCACAGGCUAAUACUCUGUGUGGAUGACGGUACCGGCAUAAGAAGCACCGGCUAACUACGUGCCAGCAGCCGCAGUAA